UAACCAGAUGUGCUAACCAUCAAUCUGUGACGUCAUCAGUCCGGCAGCCAGCAGCCAAUGAGGUCAAGGCCGCUCACUGUGCCUUCUCAUUGAGGAACCUGCCGGCUUGCUGGUAACACAGGGAACCGACCGUCAGAUUACAAGUGUUUUUAUUUUUUCUGUGUCUUUUUACGUGUGCCUGCGCGUGUCUGCGUUCUCUUCAUCUUGUUUUUGACGAUCGAUGCGUGACACCAGAGGGCCGAAGAGAGACCAGCGGGCGUGUCCUGACCCUCGGCGGGAGGCUCAAGGACAAGAUCACAGUUGUUGGCCCUCGUCUCUCGUCUCUUUAUCCUGGAAGGCGGGAAGAACACACGUCACCCCGCCAUCUGCGUGCAAUCCCUCGUCUCACCUGCGCAGUGUAUCCUGACAG